GCUUCGACCAAGGUUUGACUUGAGCGCCAGCGAGAGAGCGUUGCCGCAGGCAACGACCCGAAGGGCGAAGCGUGCAGCGCUGAGUAAUCCUUCCCCCACCACCA
rnacentral:sRNA from 1 species